rnacentral:rRNA from 1 species
GUACACGCUGUGACUAGCAUAUCAAUAAGCGGAGGAAAAAGAAACUAACAAGGAUUCCCCUAGUAACGGCGAGUGAAGCGGGAAGAGCUCAAAUCUGAAAUCUUAAAGGGUUUCCCUUUACGAAUUGUAGUUUAAAGAAGUGUUUUCUGUUGAGGUUUUGGUAAAAGUUCUUUGGAAUAGGACAUCAUAGAGGGUGAGAAUCCCGUAUUUGACCUUUACUUUCAACUUUGUGAUACACUUUCAAAGAGUCGGAUUGUUUGGGAAUGCAGUCCAAAAUGGGUGGUAAAUUUCAUCUAAAGCUAAAUAUUGGCGAGAGACCGAUAGCGUACAAGUACCGCUGAGGGAAAGAUGAAAAGAACUUUGAAAAGAGAGUUAAACAGUACGUGAAAUUGUCAAAAGGGAAGCGUUUGACACCAGUGUUGUUUUUCUGAAAAUCAAUUAAAGAACUGUUUAUGCUAAGUUGUUUAGACUUUAUCAGCUAACUGUUUAGUUUUGAGCUUUUCUUUAAUGCACUUUUCAGUUAACAAGUCAACAUCAAUUUCUUUUGCUGUAAAAAAGCUUGAGGAAGGUGGCUUGAGAUUCGUCUUAAGUGUUUAUAGCCUCUUGCCUAUGCAGUCGGAGAGAUUGAGGUCUGCAGCGUAGAUCCUUCGGGGCUAAAUGCAUUUGUGCUAAGUUAUAGCAUUUUAUAGACAACUUGUUGACUAUGAUUUGUCUCGUAGCUUACUCGCUUAUGUUAUUUUACCUACGCUUAGGAUGUUGAAGUCAUCGUAUCGCGC